ACCUGCCUUCGAGUGGGGGAUAACGCUCCGAAAGGGGCGCUAAUACCGCAUGACAUCCUGCCUUUGAAGAGGCGGAGAUCAAAGCUGGGGAUCGCAAGACCUAGCGCUUGAAGAGGGGCCCGCGCCUGAUUAGCUAGUUGGUGGGGUAACGGCUCACCAAGGCGACGAUCAGUAUCCGGCCUGAGAGGGCGGACGGACACACUGGGACUGAGACACGGCCCAG
rnacentral:rRNA from 1 species